rnacentral:rRNA from 1 species
AGUGAACGCUGGCGGUAGGCCUAACACAUGCAAGUCGAACGGCAGCACAGUAAGAGCUUGCUCUUACGGGUGGCGAGUGGCGGACGGGUGAGGAAUACAUCGGAAUCUACUUUUUCGUGGGGGAUAACGUAGGGAAACUUACGCUAAUACCGCAUACGACCUACGGGUGAAAGCGAGGGAUCUUCGGACCUUGCGCGAUUGAAUGAGCCGAUGUCGGAUUAGCUAGUUGGCGGGGUAAAGGCCCACCAAGGCGACGAUCCGUAGCUGGUCUGAGAGGAUGAUCAGCCACACUGGAACUGAGACACGGUCCAGACUCCUACGGGAGGCAGCAGUGGGGAAUAUUGGACAAUGGGCGCAAGCCUGAUCCAGCCAUACCGCGUGGGUGAAGAAGGCCUUCGGGUUGUAAAGCCCUUUUGUUGGGAAAGAAAAGCAGCAGGUUAAUACCCCGCUGUUCUGACGGUACCCAAAGAAUAAGCACCGGCUAACUUCGUG